rnacentral:rRNA from 1 species
CAGUAGCCACGGGAAUACAGAGGAUGCGAGCGUUAUCCGGAAUUAUUGGGCGUAAAGGGCUCGCAGGCGGUUUCUUAAGUCUGAUGCGAAAGCCCCCGGCUCAACCGGGGAGGGUCAUUGGAAACUGGGAAACUUGAGUGCAGAAGAGGAGAGUGGAAUUCCACGUGUAGCGGUGGAAUGCGUAGAGAUGUGGAGGAACACCAGUGGCGAAGGCGACUCCCUGGUCCGUAACUGACGCUGAGGAGCGAAAGCGUGGGGAGCGAACAGGAUUAGAUACCCCGGUAGUCCCUGUCUCUUAUAC